AGUUCCUCCCUCAGGUGAGUGUUCUGCCACAAAGUGAGCAUCCUGCUGCCCUUCCUGCAAAUCAGGCCCCUGGGACACUUAGUGCCGAGCCUUGGGGGUGGGGUGUUUGGUCCGGGUUCCUGACAAGUGGCUGGGUUGUCUGUUCCCUCUCUUCAGGGGGAGCCUCCAUGGGUGGCCUGGGCUCACAUCGGCUUCUCCAGUCCAGCCGAGCACCCCACUGGCUGCCCAGCCUGUUGAGAGAACUUGCUGAGCAAGACAUUGAGCCCCUCCUGGAACCCAGCGGCUCACCUGAACCUGGACUAAAGAUGGAGCACUUUACCGCAUAUGCAGAGAUGAGAAACAGAGGCCCGAGGAGGGAAGGGACUGGACACGGUGGAACAGCCACGGGCUGCGCCUGUGUUUCCAUCCGCCUUCCUCCUGCCUGUGCUUGAGUCACGUGCUGGUGUGCAGGGAACAGGAAGACAGCCGCUGCCCUCACAGGCUCAGGGUCUAGCAGAGUCCACAGUGACCACAGCCCAGUGCAGGUGCAUGUGACUCCUGAAACUUCAGUGACUCUGCUCUGUGCCAGAUACUGAAGAUGGAGCAGCAAAUAGCACUGACCCAACCUGCCCUCCUGUUGCCUACAGGCCAGCCUGGAGUGCCUACACCUGAACAUGCACAGCCCCUCAGGGAAAAGAACAAAACCUGAGGCAAAAAGGAAAGAAGAGUGUGAAGCUGGAGAGGCCAGAGGCUGAGAGGCUGGCUCCCCACCCCCACCCUCCCACCUGCUACAGCUCCUCCUGCGGUCUCCGUCUCCGAGGAGCCUGAGAAUUCUAAACACAAACCCAGCCUUCCAGUGAGGAGACAAGGUGGAAUGGAACGCAGAGCCCACGUGUGCCUGGCACUUGGCAAGUACACCGGGAAGGAUUGGGAAGGGCAGGAGUUACAUCAUUCACCUCUGUUUACAGCUAAGCAAACUAGCGGAGGCUCAGCGAGGUGAAGUCAGUCCCCAAGGUCACACAGCCGGCCGCGGGGCAGGGGCCCAAGACGUAGUUGUCUGACCUGUGCUCUAACCACUGUACUCUCUGGCCUCCAGACGGCUCCCACAUUACCUUUCCCUGUUCUCCGUGGCCCUCCAGCGCCUGAAAGCCGCUUGGGGGCCGCGGAGGCAGUUGGCAUGGCCAGGGCAGAGUCCGCGGGGCGGAAAGGGUUAAGGGGCUCCGCCGCAUUGGGCCGUCCUUCAAGGGGGGAACCAGCGAAUGAGAGCGCGCCGCGAUGAGAAACGCCUGAACUGAAAGUCUCGGCUCCAGGGCCGCGGGCAUCCCUUAGUCUGGGACAGGAACCGAGAGACGUCCCGGCCUCAGUCACACCUUCUGGGCCUCAGUUUCCCUUUCUGCAAGGAGAGUGGGUGAUCGCUAAAGACCCUACCAGCUGUGGACGUCCUUGGAUCCCAGGACAGUUUUCAGCCCUUCCUUGCCCUUGGCCCGAACUUUAACGGUCCCAGCCCCGGCUCCCUUCAGGCGGUGCCCAGUGCCAGGGACCUAGAAGUCCCCCGGGCCACAGGGAGGGAGCCUCACCGGCCCAGCCACGCCCUCCAUGUGGCCCGGACCCAUCCCUUGGGUAUCGCACCUGGCGCGCCCACCGAUGCCACCAAGCUCUGCUAGCUGCACCAGCAGCAGGACCUGCCGGCGUGGCGGUCAGAGGUCAACAUUCAUCCCACCGCCAACGGAGUCUUGCUCUGUUGCCAGGCUGGAGUUCAGUGGCAUGAUCUCGG